UGGACGGUGGUUUGGGCAGUAAAAACAAUCCCACAGAACGUUACAGUUUGCAACGGGCUUUACUUCAUCUGAUCCCACGGGCUUGUGAGGUAAGAGGUGUCUCCGGUUUACGGUUGAGGAACCCGAGACUCAGAGAGGAGAAACUGCGUGCAUGCGACAGCCAGUAUGUGGUGGGAUGGGUCCUCGGGUCUUGUGACUCCAGGUGGUAGGUCCCUCUCUCGUCACAGUGCUGUCCUGCAGCCCUGGUCAUGAGGUGGGUGGAGCUGGUGAUAAAUUUUAAGGAGAUGGCCCCAGAACUUCCAGAAUGCCCAGCUGAGUAUGCAUCCUGGGUGAGAAAGAGUGAAGAUAAAUGACCUAUGCUUUUAAUUCAAGAAGCCGGAAUAAAGAACUAUUUAAAAAGUAGCAGAGUUUGACUUGACAGUGAUUGAGACGUUUGAUGAAUUAAAUGGAACGAACUCUUGCCUGUGAACUAUGGACUGGUCUAGCGUAGGUGUCUGUGCCUGCUUCCUCGCGUCUCCUGGAAAAUAAAGGCAGCAAGAGGAAGAGGAAGAUUCAGGAAUUCGACCCAGAGGCUCCUAGGCUCACCCAGCCUUGCCACUCCUGGCUGUCUGGCUUUGAAAAAAUACUGUCUGUGCCUACAUUUCCUUAUCUCUAAACAAGGAAAGGGGUUCAGGGAGGUUAAAAGCCAGGAGCAAGAGGUUGCCGAGAUGAACCCUGGUCCCCUCACUCACUACCCAAUGUACCAGUUGCCAGCUACGUAACGCGGGAUAGGAGGACCCAUCCCAGCAGAGUUCAUGUGACGCCUAACGAGGCCGUGAAGGACGUGACUUUCCUUGCACGGACGAGGAAGCUUCGCCCUGGAGAACUCAGUGAUGUGCUCGAGGUCACGCAGCUGGCAGUCCUCAGCCCGGGUCUGUCCCCGCAGCCCAGGCCCUACCCCUCCCGCUCGCCGACGUGGGGUAGGAAGUGUGCAAGUGUUCCACGUGUGGCCGCUGAGCUCCUAAAACACACGGAUUCUCAGACCGCGCUCCCGGAAAUGCUGGGGAGAGGCCAUCACUCUACUCUCAGAGACUUCCGGGGCGAUUCGGCUGGGAAGCGACCACAGAGUAGCUGUGAGCUUUGCAGGGUGGAUUCUGUCCCGACCCACCUCCAGAGCUUUGUGUCCUUGAAGUUCGCAUCUCGGUAGGAAGGAUGUUAGGCAGAACCUAAAAGGCAGGGCUUCUAUGCCUGGCCCUGCUGCCAGCCAGCUGUCAGAUUUUGGACGAGUCCUGCGGCCUCUUUGGGUUUUACUUCUUUGUGUGUCAGAGCAGGGGGGGUGUCGGGCGGAACAGACGACUCCUGAGUUGGCCUCGGGCUUUGUCACGCAACAGUUCUGCUGAGCAGUGGCAUUAGGAGAUGGCAAAUUCAGUCAUGGAGGCUUAGACGUCUGUAUUCGUUUUCUCGGGCUACAGAAACAAAGUACCCUAGACUGGGGGCUUCAACGACAGAACUUGACGGUCUCACAGCUCUGGAGGCUGGGAGUCCAAAAUCAAGGUGCUGGCAGGGUUGCUUCCUUCUGAGCGGGAGGGGAAGCUGCUCCGGGCCCCUCCCCCAGCCCCUGGGGGUUUGCUGCGCGUCCUUGACGCCCCUUGUGUUGUAGGCCCAUCGCCUCAGUCCCCGCCUCCAUCUUCACGCGCUGUGCUCGUGUGCGCGCGCGCAAAUCUCUCCCUUUUAUCAGGGUACUGGUCGUAUCAGAGGAGGUGGCACCCACCCUAAUCCAGUAUGACUGAUUAUACCUGCAAUGACCUUAUUUCCAUAUAAGGUCACAUUCUGAGGUCUUGGGGGUUAGGGCUUCGACAUAUGAAUUUUUAGAGGAUUCAGUUCAACACAUAGCAAGGUCCAAGGGAAAAACGCCACUAAAAUGAGCCAAAGUCACUUGAAACUGAGUUAGGUUUCUGAUCUGUCAGGAAUAAUGGUUGCCUACCAGAGAAUCCACUCAGGCCAGUUUAGGGUGGAAAGGGAUUUAUCAAAGGAUGCUUGCUAACUGCAGAGGGGCCAACACCUCAGGAAGGCCACCCACUUUGCGCGGAGGCCCGGCUCUAGCGGAGGCCCUGGCGCCACUUCUGGGCACAGACGCGCAGCUCCCAGGACACGGCUCGGGCCCCGCCCCCGGUGCAGGCUCUGGCCCCGCCCCAGGUGCAGGAUCUGGCUCCGCCCCCGGUGCGUCGCGCAGCGCCUGCUGCCUUGCGUGUCGUGCUCCUCCCAGAGUCCCACACACACGUGUCUCACGCUGUCUUAGUGGAAUAAUUUGGAAGGACUACGUUGAAAUGGAAAAUGUGCAUUCCUUUGACUCAGCAGUUCCACUCCUAUGACUUUUUCCCCCUGAGGAAAUAAUUCAGGGAGUGCCCAGACAUAUCUUUGUAAACACGUGUGUUUAUCAGAGUGCUGCUUAUGUGAACCAAGACACCUCACUAUCCAUCAGUGGUAGAUGGGCUAAAUAAACCGUGAUACAAGUGUGCCCAGCGUGAGGCUACGUUCAGUGUAAUGAUAUAAAUCGGUGGUUUUCAGCUCGGGUCAGAUCCAAAGGCCACCCCUUCUAUAAUAAAUGUCAGACCCAAAUGUCCCCUUUCUAUAACAAAUGUUUAUAAUGCUCCCCUUACUAUCCUGAAAUGAA